UACGUAGGGGGCAAGCGUUGUCCGGAAUCAUUGGGCGUAAAGCGCGUGUAGGCGGCUAGAUAAGUCUGCUCUGAAAGCCCGGGGCUCAACCCCGGGAGGCGGGUGGAUACUGUCUAGCUCGGAGUCCGGAAGAGGAGUGUGGAAUUCCGUGGUGUAGCGGUGAAAUGCGCAGAUAUCAGGAGGAACACCGGUGGCGAAGGCGCCACUCUGGGCCGGUACUGACGCUGAGGAGCGGAAAGCGUGGGGAGCAAACAGG
rnacentral:rRNA from 1 species